rnacentral:rRNA from 1 species
AACGAACGCUGGCGGCAUGCCUAACACAUGCAAGUCGAACGAGACCUUCGGGUCUAGUGGCGCACGGGUGCGUAACGCGUGGGAACCUGCCCUUAGGCUCGGAAUAACUCCCCGAAAGGGGUGCUAAUACCGGAUAAUGUCUUCGGACCAAAGAUUUAUCGCCUUUGGAUGGGCCCGCGUUGGAUUAGCUAGUUGGUAGGGUAAAAGCCUACCAAGGCGACGAUCCAUAGCUGGUCUGAGAGGAUGAUCAGCCACGCUGGGACUGUGAGACGGCCCAGACUACUACGGGAGGCAGCAGUGGGGAAUAUUGGACGAUGGGCGAGAGCCUGAUCCAGCAAUGCCGCGUGAGUGAUGAAGGCCUUAGGGGUGUAAAGCACUUUUGCCCAGGAUGAUAAUGACAGUACCGGGAGAAGAAGCUCCGGCUAACUCCGUG